UACGAAGGGGCUAGCGUUGUUCGGAAUUACUGGGCGUAAAGGGCGCGCAGGCGGUCUUCCAAGUCGGAUGUGAAAGCCCCGGGCUCAACCUGGGAACUGCAUUCGAGACUGGGGGACUUGAGUUCGGGAGAGGAGAGCGGAAUUCCCAGUGUAGAGGUGAAAUUCGUAGAUAUUGGGAAGAACACCAGUGGCGAAGGCGGCUCACUGGCCCGAUACUGACGCUGAGGCACGAAAGCGUGGGGAGCAAACAGGG
rnacentral:rRNA from 1 species